rnacentral:rRNA from 1 species
UACGAAGGGGGCUAGCGUUGCUCGGAAUCACUGGGCGUAAAGGGUGCGUAGGCGGGUCUUUUAAGUCAGGGGGUGAAAUCCUGGAGCUCAACUCCAGAACUGCCUUUGAUACUGAAGAUCUUGAGUUCGGGAGAGGUGAGUGGAACUGCGAGUGUAGAGGUGAAAUUCGUAGAUAUUCACAAGAACACCAGUGGCGAAGGCGGCUCUCUGGGACGGUACUGACGCUGAGACGCGAAAGCGUGGGGAGCAAACAGG